GAGAGAAAUGCGAAAUCAUUUGUAGCUGUCACUUGUUUGAGUUUCGUGGAAUAGUAUGUAUGCACGCACUAGCAAUUUUGAGCCGUAAUGAUGUGACCUCGAUGCCAGAGAGAUGCAUACACUAAAGCACACACGAGAGUUCGAGUAAACUAUGACGGUCUAGUUACUACUCCUUCACAGUUGAGAUACGAUGCUAUGUGUCAAGCUUUUGCAUAAGUGGCAGAUCUUGCUACAGAUGAUGAACGGUGGUCACAAGCCAUAAUGGAUUGGAUUAAAAAGGAAGGUAGUCUCCUUACGAGCAUAAAGUCCAACCAUGAAAUUAAUAAUCUAUUCAUAUCAUGCUUCUGAAGUUCCCAAUAAUUGUAUUAAUUCACAAAAUACAUCGAGCGGGAGCACGCUGGAUCCGAAAUCGGUAAGCAAAAAGGGCGCCUCAAAGAAACCCCGGCGCAAGAGCCCGUUGGAGUCUACUUCUAAGAAAUCGAAGGUAAUUUUAGCGAUUUGCAUUACUCCAUAUUGGAUUUGAAGUACAUUUAGUAUUAAUCAUUUCAAUACAUAUGCAGAACGCUUCGGCGUCAACAUUAGGGAAGAGAUCGAGGUCGAGUAACGCGAUCAACCCGACUCAGCCACAACAACCCAUGUCAUCACCGUUCUCUCUGUCACAAUUUUCCACUAACACACCGUCAUCAAAUGGGUAAAUUAGUUGAUGCAAUAUUUAAGGUAGGAUGUCAAAAAGUGAAUUUCUACACAUCAAAAACAAUAAAUGAAUUUCUACCUUUUAUUCCAUGAUUGUAUUCUGUUUUGUUCUUAAGAAUGACCAUCUACUUUACUUCACUGUCAACCAUUGUUACCAUUGCGUCAUUGCCUAAUACAAGAUGAAAUCUGGUAUAAUUGAUGGUCAGAAAAGUAUGGUGUGCAUCCUGGGUUUCUUUCAAUAGACAUAUUAUAAGAGCUUCCUAUCUUGUGUUAGUAAUUCACAAGUCUUUCUAGGUAGUAAAAGGAUAUAUAUUCGUGACCAUAUUUGUACUAGUGUGGGCUUGAAAGUAUGUAAACUUAUAGCAUUACAAAUGACUUAUAUUGCCUGGUUUUUUUUUCCUAGUUUGGUUGUUUUCAUUUUGUAUUUAUUUUGCUCAGCCUUUAAAAGAUUGCAACCUGAAUGAUUAAAAUUUGGGAAAUCCUCUAAACCAAUGAUACAUUAAAUUCAUACUCUGAGGUAAGAAACUAGAAGGGUCUGGUCUAUUUGGUAAUUCAUACACAGGUUGCUAAAUUUACAGAGUCAACAUACAAGCACCAAGAAUUCACUAUCUUUGGAAAUUACUGAGCAAUGCAUAGGUUGUAUCUCUAAUAUUCCUGUUGUACAGAUGACUCCCUUCAUUUAGUUAGGAUCGUUUUUUCUACAUAACACUAUGAUUAUCUCAAGUGUUGAAUGUCAAGGUUUCCAUGAAUUAGUCUUGGCAUUUUUUGUAAUCUCAUUAUUUCCUUCACAGAUUUCAACUUGAAUAUCCAUGUUGAUAUAAGCAACGUGUGAUUUUGCAAGCCGAAUAUAGCACUAUGUAGUAUGAUAUCUAUACAAUUCAAAACUUUCAGUCACAAGUUUUAUAUUUUUUGAUUGAAUAACUUGACAAAGUAUGAUGCUAAUGGUUCGAUUGGUUUUGCAGUCUAGAGGUUCAAUUAGAGAUGGGACUGGAGUACAUGGCAGCAUUGUUAAUGAACUCGUUACAAAGGUGUAUUAAUGAUGAUUACUUGUUCUGUAGAUAGUAAACUGGGAGGAACAAUGAGUCAAUGCAAUUCCUUCGCACUACAGUAAUGGCACUUCCUAGCAGAUCAUCUGAUGGAUCUCCGUUAGAGUCCUGCCAUUCGGCAGAUGGUAUCCCAUUAAUGUAUCUUACCAUUAGUUCAAUAGCAGGAUGUGUUUUGGGAGAUAGAAAAUGAGAAGAUAGGUUGACUACCUUAUUUUUGG
rnacentral:lncRNA from 1 species